rnacentral:tRNA from 1 species
GCCUUCGUAGUGUAGUGAUCAGCACGCUCGACGCGUACUCCAGAGGUCAGUGGUUCGAAUCCCGGCGAGGGCA